rnacentral:rRNA from 1 species
AGUGAACGCUGGCGGUAGGCCUAACACAUGCAAGUCGAACGGCAGCACAGUAAGAGCUUGCUCUUACGGGUGGCGAGUGGCGGACGGGUGAGGAAUACAUCGGAAUCUACUUUUUCGUGGGGGAUAACGUAGGUAAACUUACGCUAAUACCGCAUACUACCUACGGGUGAAAGCAGGGGAUCUUCGGACCUUGCGCGAUUGAAUGAGCCGAUGUCGGAUUAGCUAGUUGGCGGGGUAAAGGCCCACCAAGGCGACGAUCCGUAGCUGGUCUGAGAGGAUGAUCAGCCACACUGGAACUGAGACACGGUCCAGACUCCUACGGGAGGCAGCAGUGGGGAAUAUUGGACAAUGGGCGCAAGCCUGAUCCGGCCAUACCGCGUGGGUGAAGAAGGCCUUCGGGUUGUAAAGCCCUUUUGUUGGGAAAGAAAAGCAGCAGGUUAAUACCCCGCUGUUCUGACGGUACCCAAAGAAUAAGCACCGGCUAACUUCGUG